rnacentral:rRNA from 1 species
GACGAACGCUGGCGGCGUGCUUAACACAUGCAAGUCGAACGGAAAGGCCCUGCUUUUGUUGGGUGCUCGAGUGGCGAACGGGUGAGUAACACGUGAGUAACCUGCCCUUGACUUUGGGAUAACUUCAGGAAACUGGGGCUAAUACCGGAUAGGAGCUCCUGCUGCAUGGUGGGGGUUGGAAAGUUUCGGCGGUUGGGGAUGGACUCGCGGCUUAUCAGCUUGUUGGUGGGGUAGUGGCUUACCAAGGCUUUGACGGGUAGCCGGCCUGAGAGGGUGACCGGCCACAUUGGGACUGAGAUACGGCCCAGAAUCCUACGGGAGGCAGCAGUGGGGAAUAUUGCACAAUGGGCGGAAGCCUGAUGCAGCAACGCCGCGUGCGGGAUGACGGCCUUCGGGUUGUAAACCGCUUUCGACUGUGACGAAGCGUGAGUGACGGUAAUGGGUAAAGAAGCACCGGCUAACUACGUG